rnacentral:rRNA from 1 species
ACCAGACUCCUACGGGAGGCAGCAGUGGGGGAUAUUGCACAAUGGGGGGAACCCUGAUGCAGCGACGCCGCGUGGGUGAAGAAGUAUUUCGGUAUGUAAAGCCCUAUCGGCAGGGAAGAAAUUGGACGGUACCUGACUAAGAAGCCCCGGCUAACUACGUGCCAGCAGCCGCGGUAAUACGUAGGGGGCAAGCGUUAUCCGGAUUCACUGGGUGUAAAGGGAGCGUAGACGGCCAUGCAAGCCUGGAGUGAAAGCCCGGGGCCCAACCCCGGGACUGCUCUGGGAACUGUGCGGCUGGAGUGCGGGAGGGGCAGGCGGAAUUCCUGGUGUAGCGGUGAAAUGCGUAGAUAUCAGGAGGAACACCGGCGGCGAAGGCGGCCUGCUGGACCGCGACUGACGUUGAGGCUCGAAAGCGUGGGGAGCAAACAGGAUUAGAUACCCGAGUA